rnacentral:lncRNA from 1 species
ACCACUUAGUACUUUAAAAGGUUACAUGUUCUUAUGAUGAAUUGGAAUCACCUGUUGACUUAUCAGAGUAAAAUCUGCUACAUUGGUAGAUUUUUAUGACUAAUGCUGUCUGUGGUUCCUGGCUAAUUUUAACCAGCAUAUGUGAAUAAUUUUAUUCGAAUAAUUCCUUGCUAUUCAGAUAAAUCCAUUCAAUGCUUCCUCCCGAAUAGCUUUAACCUGACUAAAACUGAAUAUAAAGGUGCUUUCAGUUUUCUGGAAUCUCAAAAGUUCUUUCGUUAUUGGGAUUUUAUUCAAGAGGAUAAAAAAUUGUUUGGCUGAGUAAAUCUGAAUAAAGUUGAAAAAUGGUGAUUUGUUCAGAUUUAUAGUUGAAAAGUUGUUAUAUUGUUCAGCUUUAUUUAGGUUUAUUCGGGAACCAAACAUGGCCUAAGUUGUAAUUUAAUUAAAUGAGAUAUCAGGAAACUCUAUGAUAUUUUAAGAGUAGUGAUACUCUUACAUGCGGAUCUAUUAAAUGACUUAAACAGACUGAUGUGGCAUUCUGAGAUGGCAUUGCAACAUCAGCUAUUUCUUUUUAAAAGAGAUGGCAAUAUAUCAAGUAGGUUUUUUGUAGCUCGUUGUUCUCUUCCCAUUUUCCAUGCCAUACUGUUUGUCACAUCUAACUACUUGAAGUCACAAUUAUUGUGGUCAUUGAUGGUUAUCAAGUGAUGGCAGUACCAGCUCUCUCACCUCACCCCGAUCUCCUCCCCCUCUUGACCUUCUCUCCCCCUUCCCCUCUUACCAGAAUACACCUACUCCCAGCACACGCUUCUUCUCUCUCCCUUCCACGGCGGUGCUUAAUGAUGGGAAGUCCUCAACGGCUCAACUCCAUCUUCAUGAAUCCAACAUCAAAGCUUUGUCCUCCAUCUCCCUAAUCCCUGACCUCUCCUUGAGUGGUCCAAACUAGACAUGUUCAUGGUCCAGGCCGGGCUUUGCCCAAAAAUUAACACAAUUUGCUGAGGUCCGAGCCGCCCGUCCUGUGGGCCUACUUUCCAGGUCCAAUUCUGGCACUUAUUUAGGCUUCGAGCUCAGGCCUUGGGCUUCCUUAACAAUUUUUCCCAAUUUCUGAAAAAUGCUAAAAAAUACUAAAUACGAAUAAUUAAAUGUUUCUAACAGCAAUUUCAAUGUUUAAAAACUACUCUAAGAAUCUAGAUCUUCUUGUAUUAAAUUACAUAUCAACAAAAUCUUUAAGUUUAAUCAUAAAAAUCUAGAGUUAAAAAAAUUUGGGCCAGGCCAGGCUUUAAUCCUCAAGCCCGAGUCCGGCCCAUCAACUUAAAACCUUGAUCCAAGCCCACCCAAAAGACUUUGGGCUUCACCAAGCUUUUUCCUCUAGGCAUCUUCGAGUUCUUCUACUCCAACCACUUUGACCAUAUAGAUAUGCUCUGCCAGGGUAAUCACUAAAAUGUCAUCAAUCCCAUCGAGCCUCGAGAGAGGAAGGCGUGGGGAGGUUUCUUGCUGGUGACAACGACGACAUUGAUGACUCUCAGUUGGAGAGAAGAUAGAAGGAAAAUGUGAGAACCAAGAUCACAUGAAGAGAGAAGUAGGGCAAGACGCAAGAGAGAGGGGAUGGGAUGCUUUCUGUUCCUUUCUUAAAGAUGCUGAAGUGGCAUAGUAUUUUUUGUUGUUUAGCUAUGUUAUGAUCUGUGUGUGCACGUACAAGUGAACAUGGAGCAUGCUUUAAUUUUCAGUAGUCACACGUUUGGAAAUUAGUGAUGACUGAGUAAAUUUGUCCACAAUUGCAAAUUGAUUUGAAACUUUGAAGGAUUUAUGGCAAACUAUUAUCAAUCCAUCAAAAAAAAAAUCAUGAAUGAACUUAAUUUGCAAACGAGCUUGUUCUUGUUUAGCAUAAAUAAAGAAUGGCCUUUUUUAUUUUUAUUUGUAAAUUACUUGCAUAAAUAGAUAUUGUAACCAAACCCCUCUCCGGAUUCUUCCAUUCUUCAGAUGUCAUAUUCUUUUGUUGUUUUGGGUUUCAAAGUUUAGAUCGAUUCUGGAUUAAAAUAGGUCUGACUCAAAAUCUUUAUCUACAUAUGAUCCUUGUAUGAUUUUACAUGAUUUUUUUCUCAAUUUACUGGUUCAUUCACAUGUUGGUAUAUAUAUUUUUAAUUUCACAUGCAGCUGCAUGCAUUUGUGGAGUAUGAAACUAUUGAGGAUGCUGAGAAUGCAGUAUGUUCUGAACUUCUAUCGCAACUGUGUUUUCCAUUUCAUGUGCACACUUUGAACUUCUUUGGCUGAAGGCUCUAUUUAUUACUGGGCAUACAGGUCACAGAGCUCAAUGAUGAGAGAAAUUGGAGAACUGGGCUUAGAGUUCGUAUACUAUCUAAAUGCAUGGUACUUCCACAUCAUUCUUACAGCCUUUCGUCUUUCUAACACAUUCAUAAUAGUCAUUUUUGUCAUUCAGUACCAAGAAAUUUUUUGUUCCUUGCAAUUACAGAAGAUGGCCUGGCUAAGGUUUGACGAUAUUCUGGACAUCAGCCUAUUUUAACUAGUAUAAUAAUUCAAAGUUAAUGGAUGAUAAUUGCUGGACUGCAUCCAGACUUUGUGAAGCAUGUAAACCUCCUCUCAACCCCUUAAAAAAAUUAAAUUGUUAAUUAAUUAAUAAACUUUGUAUUAAUGGACUAUUGAGUCAUAACUAUUUUCCUUCAAAAAAUUUCAGGGGAAAUAUGUCCUGAAUAUUUUAAAUUUUCUAUGAAUCAUUGUCCAGCUUUUGAUUUUUGUUUAUUUUUAUUUUGGACUGUCAGCUCGGCUUAGGCGGCUAGUGAGUUGUUUCAUCUAUUGCUACUUUUAGUUUUUGUGGAUGAUUUAAGUAGUAAAAUUGCUGUAUUUGUUGAUCAGAUGCUUUAGAAAUACAUGAGAUGUUGGGUCGUAACUCAUUCAGUCAUUUUCUAUUUAACUGUUUAAAAGUAUUCUGUAUAUGGGUCUGCAUGAUAUUUUAUCAAUGAGAUGUUUGGAUGUGAUGCUAAAUCUCUAUGUUGGUGGUGGUGGUGGUGAUUAGUUGAAAUUGUUGUUGCAGGUGGUCGCUUAGGCAGUAAAUGGGCCUUAGAAUGCCUAGGCGACCUUUGCCUAGAUCACCAUAACGUAAGCACCUGCACCACCCAAGUUUUGAGGGCCUUUCUAAGCAGCUGGGUGACAUCUAGGUGGUGAUUUCUGAAUAGGCGUUUGGCCAUUGUUUUAUGUGUUUUACAUGUGUUUUUUUUUCCUCUAUGCAUGUAUAUGCAUCUAGUUGUAUGUUGUAUGUGUAUGCGUAUGCAUUCGCAUGCACAGAGAGAGAGAGAGAGAGAGAGAGAGAGAGAGAGAAUUUGUGCGUCUCAGUGUGUGUUAAACCCUUUGUUUAUUUAAUAUAUACAAGAUCUAUAAAAAGGAAGCAGAUUACUGAGUGGAUGAUUGUCUUUUACAUUAAGUAGUUGCCUUCUGGGUAAUUGCUUUGUUGCCUUGUCAGUCACCUAGGCUAUAGGGCUUGGUCUGCCAACGUGUAUUGCCGGGCUUCUUGGGUUACAAGCGUCGCUCAAGUAUCCUAGUAUAGCAUGUAGAUGCAUCCAAGAUUCCCUAUAGUUUGUAACUGAGUUUUCUCAAUUCUUUCAAGUACAUUGAAUAUGCUAAUUAGGUAAAUUGUAAGUCACUUUGUCUUCCCUUUUCAAAACAGACAAAACAUGGGCCAGGUCAAGGCAGAAAAAUAGGACAUGAAGGUGAUGCAAAUGGAGAUGAAGAUGAAAUUGCCACAACUAAUCAGCCAACUGAGAAGCAAGUGGAGGAUCCAUCUCAGUCAUUUGAGGAUUUAAUGGAGCAUGUGGUAAGCCAUAUUCAUACAAUUUUUUGUCAUUGUCUGAAGCUUAUAGUGCAGCAACACUAGUCGGUCAAACCAAUUUGGAAAGUUCACUCGAGUUUUCAAUGCAUGCUAUGGUUGCUUUUUUUAGGGCAUUCUUAUUAAUGAAAUAUAUAAUCUAUUGAUCCUUCAUGCUGAAACUGAAUUUGUCUCAUCUAGCCCUGGAAGGAGUACUGAAAUAUGGUGCAUCAUGGACAGGGUGAGGAGAAUUUCAAUGACAAGGAUGGCAUGGCAAGGCGCAGCAAGGGGCGGGGACGUGGAGGAAAGGGGCGUGGACGGGGGCAGUACCACCAUAAUGACAACCGUAAUGGGGGCCAUGCUAUUGGCACCCCACCUUCAAGCCACCUAAUCCAUGCUGUUCAGCAGCCGGCGGUUAGCAAGCAACCACCCGGACCUCGCAUGCCAGAUGGCACAAGGGGAUUCACAAUGGGACGAGGGAAGCCACUUAACCCCAUCAAUACAGAUUGAUGGCCUUCAACAUUAGCUUGAUGGCGCUGUACUUUGUUAUGUUGAUUGGGGUGAUUUGGAUAAGAGGGUCUGGAGCAGUGAUUAUCAUCAGGUUUAUCAAUUGCUGUCGGCAUGGUGAGCAAGUGUGAUCUUGGACUUGAUUUCAAAGGAGAAUUUUUUUUCUUUUUUUCUUUUUUUUGAUCCUUGCUCCUAUUUGGGGGGAGUUUUUAGGUGUCCUCCAGGACUGAUGUCAGUUUGUCCUUGUCACCUUGUUACAUUGUUUUUCCUUCUGAUGCUAUUUGACAGUUUAUCAUGUGAAAAUGGAAAGAAAGAAAAUCUAGGAGAGGUUGAACUGGUAAAUGUAGACUGAUAAAUGAUGUCCUCUUGAAUAAUUGAUAUAUUUGUAUGUGAAUCUAUUAUCUUAGCUAUAGAAAAUAAAGCUUGUCAAUAAAUAGUCUUGCUUUGUUUGCCUCUUUGAAUUUUAAUUUGUAAUAAUUUCAUUUUGAUUUUGAUACAGACAAUUAUCAUUAGCUAUAAUUGGCAUCGCAUAAUGUUUGUGCUCCCUUAUGGAGAUGGAAUUUGGCAUCCCCGGAGAAAUUGGAAUUACUUUUCCCCAAAAAAAAUUUGAAGCAAGCAAAAUUCUCUGAACGUUGUCCAUCUGAUAAUCUUGACCUUUCAUCAAGUAUUUGAAGCAAAUCUACGGCUAGCUUCGUCAACACGUCGCGUUGGUAAUGGGAUUGGACAGAUAGCCCAAAAGGUGCAGUUGCAUUAUUUAGGGCAUGUUUGGGGCCUUGCUGUUAUCUCCAACAGGAUCCACGAGAGACGGGAAGUGCCGGGAAAGGAAGGGACCGAGCAGGAGAGACGCAGGGCCCGAUCCCAACCAUGGUAGAGGUUUUUUUUCUUAAUUCCUGAAGGGAAGGGAACAUCCCCAAUGAUCCCCCCCGCACACACCCUCUCUCUGGCUUCUGCUCCCCCACCACCCCCAAAAAAAUACAGAUAACAGAGUACUGAAGUCAUUAUCGAUAUCUGCAGAAAGUUAUUACCGAUACGAGGAGUUACUUCGCAUAUAGUCAUUAGCAUGGACUUUAGUAGAGUGCUCUAAUUCUUGAUUUGCGCACUUUUUGAUGGUGGAUUUUGUGAAACAUUUUUGGAGUGGACACGGAACUUUAGUUCAACUUUUUAUGCAUAUUGUUGUUAGAGCAGAAAAAAAGAAUGCGUUCCCAUAUAAGGUAUUAUCCGCUUUGGGGGCUGAUCAUCAUCGGGCCACUGGCCUAGAUCAGGCGUUAUAUAUCCCUCACAGGUUUUUCCUUCAAAAGCCGCCUCCUAACGGAAAGAAUUUUUGCCCUUCCAUUUAAGGCACAAUUCUUUCCGCUAUUCAAUUGAUGUGGGACUAAUUUAUCUGUUAGAUGAGAAAAAGGGAUGCAUCCCCACAGGCGGUAUUGUCCGCUUUGGGGGCAGAUCAUCCUCGUGCUAGCGGCUUAGAUGGGGCACCAUAUACCUCUUACGGUUUUGCCCUUCAAAAGACGCCUCCUGAGGGAAGAGGUUUUUGCCCCUCCAUUUAAAGCACAAUUCUUUCCGCUACUCAACCGGUGUGACACUAAGUCCAAAACCCCCUCCACCCCCAACAAUUAUUAUUAUUAAUUUUCUCUCUCCAAUUUAUUCUUCUUGCAGAUUUUUUUUCUAUUGUUAUUGUUGAGAGUGAUCCUAAGCUGGUUGAUCUCAUUCUGCAAGUGAUCGUGCCUUUCUACAUACUAUCAAACAAUACGUAGAUUUUCUAAGUAGAGAGCAUAUAGAUCCAUGUGCAACAGUUUUCUUAAUCUUUGAGACCAAGAAGCACCUAUGAGGGCUCUCUUCUGCAUCUAGCAAGAUAGAACAAUUGGAUGCAGCCUAGGGCACUGAAAUUGCCCUUAAAGUAACAAGAGCCUUGUCCUUUCCUAAGGUUCAAUGCUCCAUAGACCACAAUGAAUCCAUUGGCCAGCACUCUCUUCCUCUCCUUAAGUACUGAUUGGAUAGAAUAGAAAUGCGUCUUCUGUUAAGAACAAAGAUAAUAAUUAAUCAGCAUGGCUUUCCGCAAAAUCCUCAUCUUUUUUCUUUUCUUUUCUUUUCUUUUUCUUUAUUUUUUCUUUUUUGUUUGGUGGAAAUAAUGGUGGGAACACCAGCUAUGUAUUUGAGUUCAAGCUUGGAACCUCUCUAUUGGUUUAUUCUUUUUUUGUUGAGUAAUUUAUGUUCCUAUAUUUAUUAUGGUCUUGAUAGAGUUUGAUGCGCAUUGCUUAACUGCUAUUUAAUCUGGGGAAGUCCUGUGAGGACACUGAUCUCUAGCUCGAAGGUCAAGCCCUCAACCACCGAGCUACAUGCAAUACACAUUUUUAUCUUAUAUAAGGAAUUUGUUUUACUUAUUUACAUAUAUUUGGAUCAUUCAUUUGAUAUAAAUUAUAAUAUUUCAUAUUUUAAUUAUUAUUUUUUAUUAAAAAUUCUUUUCUCUUUGAUAAAAGUGAAAAAUGAACAUAUGUUAUUUUAUUCUUUAUGAUAUUUUUAAAAUUUUAUUGUUAAAAUAGUUAAAAUUAACUCCAAUAUACUUCUAUUCAUAUAUAAUUUUUCUUACAAGCUUUCUAUGAAUAGAUAGUCAUGAUUAUUUUAUUUAUUCUAUAAUUAGAAGGUAAUAAUGAUAUUUGAUAAAAAUAACGAUAUUUUAUAUAUAUGCUUUAUCUUAAAUAAUUUUUAUUAUCAAUAUUUUAAAUAAAAAUCUAAUUGAAUUAGCAACCUAGCUAGAUUCUUGACUAGGUCAGUCUCCAUGUCAAUUUAGGAGCUAUACUUUAAAUCCUUAUUAGUUUCCAUCCUUUAUGAUUAUAUAAUUAAUAUCAGUUUUCAUCACUAAAUUUUGCUAAAACUUCGGUUUAUAUUCAAAGAAUAUUCGGCUUAUGUUUUAUAUUAGGAUAGAAAAAAAAGUAUAAAUAACGUCUAACUUAUUUUGGCAUCUGUUAAGAACAGACAUCCAGUUAAAACCUUACUGUUUGUAGUGCAACCUGGUGCAAUCAAGGAAUAAUUAUCAGGUUUAAAUAAAAAAAAGAAUAAGUAUCAAGACUCUCUUAGAGUCGCAAAGAGUUUAGAUGAAAGAACAAGAUGAUAACUUUUGAUAUGAGAAUGUUGCGUUUAUCACAAAGGAACAAAUAUGUUAAAUCAAAAGGAGGUCCAAUAAAGGUGUCUAUUCAUGAAAUAAUUAAUUAAAUACCACUUCAUCUGUAACAUAGUAAAUGUAGGACCAGCAAAAAGUAAUGUAUGCAGAUGAAAUGUGGAUUUCAUAAUAAAGGCCAUGGCUAAUGCUAUUAUACGUUUUUCCCCUCAAAAGAAAAAUGUUGUUAUUUAUCUUAAAUUGCACCAUAUUCUCUAUAAUAUGAACACGAUGGCUAUGCCAUCAUUUUACUCAAAAAAAAUAUAUCAUUAUUUUUUUUUGAAUUUAAAUUCACGGUUCUUUCUUCUUUUUCUUUUGAUAAAAAAUUCAUGGUCUCAAUGUCGCGAAAGUCUAAAAUCUAAUUAAGGUAACCGUAUUUUGGUAGAUCAUAUGCUUCAUGGUGUGUAUGUGUUAAUCGAUGGCGGUUUCUCUAAACUCGAUUGACCUAUGUUAAUAUACAUCAGAAGAAUUAGAGUGAAAAAAUAGGUAGAGCAUAGCUAAGUUAUUUAGUACUUCAAUGCCAUAAUUAAGUAUAAUAAAAAAGCGCCGCUUUAAGACUUAUGACAUGCCAUCUACUUUGAGAACUAAUACUUGAUAUAAUUUAGAAUAAUCCUCAAAGAUGGAGAAUUAACCUGUACCUCGGAGUCCUUCCAUCAAUCCUCAAGGUUGGUGAAUUCCACAUGCUCUAGCCAUAAUUUUUUCCCCUUGAAACAAAAUUAUCUUGGUCUCCGAAGGCUCACUUGAAACCUUUAGAUAGAUCGCACGUGUUCGAAUUUGAGAGAUCUAUUUGCUUAAUUUCCAAGAACAGGAUAUACUCUUGAAGGAUUCAUGGUUGCACUUCCCUAAAUAAAUAAAAUUCCAUCUAGCUUUGCCAAGGUAAGGAAGAUGUUCAGGUCAGUGGAAGUGAUAAAUUCUUGUUCAACUUCUCUAGAUCCUUAGCUCUCAAUCUUUAAUUCAUGCAAUUACAUUAAAAGCCUCUUCGGCUUUUACAAGAGAGUGAAUUAAUUGUAACACUGAAGUCCGCUUCGAUCCCCUCUCCACAUCAAUAGAUCCAUGUGCAAACAUCAAAACCCAUGCAAAUCAUAGACUCAACGUAAGCAGGUAGUCCUUAUCUUGAACUGAAACCAAGGUUAGUCCCUUUCCCAGCAUUCUCUUCAAGGCCAGUGUUAAUAUCAACCUAUAUCUUUAUUCAUCUAUUCCCAAUGUUGCAUUGAGAUUUCCUACGCUUAGAGCCCCUUGACUUCAAGGUUGUGCAGGAACUACUCGAAUAAAUAAAAGAGUCCCACCACAUGCACGAGCCACAGACCUCUCACUCUCUCUCAGCCUUCAAUGUCUUUAAUGGGCACGAGACAGAAAGGAGUGUAUUUAGGGAGCAUGAUACGGGGUGCAAUGGUGUUCUCUCCUUUUCUUUGCUCAUCGUUUCCUUCCCCUCAACAUUUCCUCCCCCUCCUCUCACUCUCCAUUGCUGGGAAAGCGUGCAACUCGCAAGACUCCAAGAAGGAACAGUCAAAAUAAAGCCCAUGGUCUUGGCGCUUUCCCAUAAAUGCCUCCAUCCCCCACCAUUCAAUACACCCCCUCCUCCCUCUCAUCUCUCUCUCUUUCUCACUCUCACUCUCACACACACACGCAUUUUUAAAACAGGAUUGAUCACAGUUAUCUAUGUGCAUACCUCUGUUCCCUCCUAUGGACAUUUAAAUUGUUCUCUUUGUAGGGAUCAGAGUCCAUUACUUUACUCUGGACCGCUCUUCCUGGUGGGGACUGGAGUUGAUUUGUCUCUCUUUCUUCCUUCUCUCUUGAGGCCUUAAAUGCCUCUCUUUUCCCACCUACACAUACACCCGAGCGCGUGGGGGUGUCGGAAUAUCCCCCGACCCUCGAAGCCGUCCCUCGCAAAUACCACCACACAUACUUCCCAACUCCAAAAACAAAAACCCACCCACGCCGCGGGAGCCGUGCGGGAACUUUGAAACGUUGGAGCUGCGCUUCUCUUCUUUAUUUCUUCCAUUAAUGGCCCAUGAGGCUACCCAUCCAUGCACGUGGGUGUCCGUCGUGGCCCUCCAAUCAGGGCCGUACGCUGCAUGUGCCUGAUUAGACGCAUCGUGGGUCGAGGAGGGGCGGCUUUGACUUGGGCCGUGCUCUUCUUUCCUGGUGGGUGGAGCCCACGGAUCGCUAGCUCCUGUCAUGCAUCUAGUUCACACCCCUCUUUUUUUUAUUAUUUUUUAUUUGAUAAAUCAAAUAUGCCGCACCAUCCUUGUAUAGAUAUAUUUAGAAAAUAAAAAUAAAAGACUCAAAAAUUGAGCCGAAACGUCUGUUAUGGAAUCCCAUAAUAUAAUUCUAAUAUAGUUGGCCACAUGAACCACCAUCCAAUCAAUUAUACUAUUAGCUUCUCAGAAAGUCCAUUAUUCGCCAGCAAUCACAGAAGAAUGAGAUUUGAUUCUGCAGAUAACGAAGUUAUGCUCUAAAUGAAUGUGGGAAGCUCUUAAGUUUCUAUAGCAUGAGUCAGGUCUUUCCAUGCAAUUUUUUGAAUGCAUAUGCAUAUACAUAUAUGCCCAACUCAAUGAGGGCAUAUACCAAGGGUCAAGUAAACUAGAACUGUGAAAAAGCUACAGUUGGCCGGCUUCUGUUUGGAUCCAUUACCCCAUAAAAAGUUAAAAUUCUAAUAUUAUUUCUUAUUAAGUUAUGAAAAGGGGGGAAAUAUUGGACAUCUUCUCCAUUAGCAUUUUGACUUUCUUGUGUAUAAAAUCCACCAAAGCUCGUACCAAUAUAUAUAUGAUAUGUUGCAUAUAUCUUAAUUCGACUGUAAAUUCAUAAAUUAAAAUUUAUGACACUUAAAGGUUUCUUUCUUUCAUUCAAAACAGUGGAUGAUCCACCGUGCUUUUCAUUGACAAAUGAAUUAUGCAUAAUAUCGAUCUUAUGAUAUAUUAAUGGUUCAAUUAUAUCUAAACAUGGAGGAAAGCAGAAAAUUGAGAGCAGUGUUAAUGGAUCCAAGAUUACUUCACAAUUGCCUACUCACUGAGCUAAGUUAUUGAGACGUGUGUGAGCAAUAGCAUAAGCAUCGAAAUGAACAAAUUAAUAGGCUUGGCACUAUGGCACUCCAACUUGAGCUCGUGACUUUUGACCCGGAGCAUCACUAGAAAGACUAGCAAAAAUAUGUGAGGUGCUCUUCUUGUUACAAUAGACUGAGAGCAUAUAGCAUGAGUCAAAAUGGUGAUGCCUUCAUGAGUCCAACCAGCAGAAUUCUUUAACGAAUGUAAGGAACAUAAACUAUUCAAUUUGACUUCCACAUUUCUCCAGAAGAGUAAAACUAACUCGGUACCAUUUUUGUUUUGCUAAACAUUCUGCAGUCAACACAUGCGCGACCAAAGUCCUGUAAAAUAAUGUUGUGAACAUAGCAUCAUGUGGAGAAGAAAAAGGAGUUAUCAAAGUGAGCAGUGGCAUAAAAAAAAUCUUGAACAUCUUUACUAUCAGUUGUUCAAGCCAACUUAGACCGGACCAUGCCGAUUUGAUUCGCAAGUUCCAUGCAAAGAGCAAAAACUUUUUUGGUUUCGAAAAAAAAAAUCACUAAAAUAUUUUUUCUAAAGAUCUGUUGCCUAAAUAUAUGAUAUCUAAAAAAAUAGUUUUUACAUGUUUGAUUGACUAUGAAAAAGUGGCAUAAUAUAAAAUUUUUAUAUUUAAUUAAACAUCUAUUUUUUUGGAAAAAUUAUGUGAAAUACUUAUUAUACUUUUAAUAAAAAAAUCUAUUGAAAACUUAAAGGCAUUUUUAAAUAAAUAUAUAUAUAUCUUAAUUUCCAAGCAGUGGUAAUUAAUUUUUUUAUAUUUUAUAUAAAUUUUUUCAUAAAAUAUAAAUAAUAUUUUUUUUUCAGCUCUCUCUCUCGUACCUUUUUUUAUAAUAUUUUCAUCUCUUUUGUCUCUGUGAAUCAAAUGAGCUCUAAAGCCACCAAGGUGGUAACCUGGUGGUAAGGGGGCUUGAACUCCAUCCAAGUUGUUUGGGUUCAAAACGUGCGGGCGUCGAUUAAAUCAGGGAACCGCAUGCCCCACGCUCGGAUGGCUCUGUAUGGAUAUACUUUCCUUCCAUCAGUACUCAGGUGGCGCUGUGGUGACGUACUCACAUGUGAAUGGCCCAAUAAGAUUUUCCACGGAUUGGGGAGGGCAUACGAAAACUUGUAAUCCACAUUGAAUAUUUUCUGGCGGAAGGGGGCAGUUGCAGGUGGGUUCUGCCCCUCCCUCUCCCCUCCAAUUUUUUACCAAAAAAAAAAUAAAUCUAAAAAGUUAUGUACAAAAGUACGGAAACAGCGAGCACCAUACAUGGAUAUAUGGGUGAACAGGCACGUUUAUAUCCCCCGUGUGGUCCCACCUGAGUCGGGAAGGGCAGAACGAGGGGCGCAGCAGGAGACGUGAGCAGGUGGGCAUGCAUUUAAGGAUGGGAUCAUCAUUGCUUGGGUACAUCAGCUUUGACUAUCUUUUGCAUGUGUGCAUAUCUCUAGAGACAUAAAGAGAGAAACAAGUGUUCUCUCUCCCAAGUCUCAGCUUUUCUUUGGAUUUUUGCUAGCUGGCGGAGAUUGGUGACGGUAAGAAUGCUGUAUGACAUUAACUUUCUCUGCAGAACGGCAUUUUGGGAAGGCUUCAUGGCUCCCUUUAUCGAUGGCUCUCUCUCCCUCUCUCUUUCAAAGUCCUUGUGAAAUGUCUCCUGCUCUCCUCUGAGAAAUGCCUUCUGCCUCCUCAAAUCCCCAACUGAUCUCCCUACUCGUGUCACUUUUCCAUCACUCCACAAAGUCACGAGAGAGCGAGCCAAAAAAAGAAGGUGAAUCGUAAACUCAUUCGCANNNNNNNNNNNNNNNNNNNNNNNNUUUAGAGAACGGAAAAAGAAAGAACCUUGCAGACUUGAGCAGAAAUGGGCGACCGCCAACUCAAGAGGAAUCAUUAUAAAACCUCUCAUGCUUCCCAUAAAUGUUUUCAGCUUCAACUCACCGUACUAAACUUUUGGGCUUCCCUCAAAUGCUUCUCAGUCUCCAUCACAAUUGAAUCGGUCAAUAUAUUCAUUCCAUGUACCUUUGUCUUUGGAAAUUGACCACCAAUAUGGACUGUGGUUGACCUAGCCAUAUGAUGGUGAUCGGUGGGGACUGAGACCUAGCUUUCUUAUUGACAAGCAGCAAGACAAUAUCUUCUAAAGGCCGUCAGAAUUUAAUGGGUACAGAACUAAUGUAAGAUUUGAUAAUGAUGGGAAAACUGAUGUCUGCCGAAGGAAAGGUAUCAUCACAUCGACCCUAUUAUAGAUUUCCCAACCAUCCUUGCCCAUAUAAUACAUUCUGUAUGGAAAUCUUCUUUCCAUGGGAUAAGCAUUCCUUGACUCAACCACAUGAUGGUUGUCAUGAGACCUACCUUUCUUAUUGACAAGCCUCGAGCCAAUAUCUUCUCAUGACCAUCAGAAUUUUAUGGGUACAGAGCUAUGGAAGGUUUGAUAAUGAUGGGAAAACUGAUAUCCACCUAAAGAAAGGCAUCAUAUGAUGGAUGUUUAUAAUUCUAUUGUCAGCACUUUGAUCCUACCCAAGAUUCCACAACCAUCCUUGCCAAUAGAAUACAUUCUUGCAUAUAUGGAAAUCUUUUUGAGUGAUAAGCAUUCCAUGCGUGGUUUAUUCAUCAUGGAAAUAGCACCCAAAUAUUCCAACAGAUCUACAAUUUGUUAUAAGAUGCAAGAAGAAAGAAGAAAUCCAAUCCACCAAAACAAUGCAUUAAAAGUGGUGGAUAUGAUUCCAAAACAAACAGCUCCAGGUGGGUCCCUUCUGCAGUCAAGACAAUAUAUGUGAGCUAAUGGUAAAUUUUGGGUCAAAGUGGUAGAUUUUCUUCCCCCCCAACAAAAGCAAUUCUUCUUUCUUCUUUGCAUCUAGAACAAUUUGAAAAUAACUUACAAAAUUCUGUUAGCAGGUAAUAAAUAUCAUUACAACAGAAAAGGGUAAAGGAGUUCAAAUAAGAAAGCCACGUAUCCAAGGGAGGAAAACAGCAACUAGGACUGCCACUAUAACAAGCACUGGGAAUACAAAAUGUCCAACUCGCUAGAUCAAGAAGACAGGAUAAAAUAAACAGCACUGAGAGAAAACAAGAGGGAAAAAGAAAAAUCUAUUUUCUGUAAAUGUAUUGAAACCAAAAUCCAGGCCUCUUUGUCAAUUCUAACUCUCUCUCAGUUUCAUCAGCAAGGAUCCAUCCUUCCAAGUCCUAUACCUGCAGCUCAACAAUAUACAUAAACUUAAGUUUUAGAUUUUCUGAACACAAAUCCAAAUAAUGCAAUUUUGCAAGAUGCUUUUCUGGAAGGAUUUUUUUUUACACUAGUUUCUGUCAAUGAAACUGUGAUCCAAAAGUGUAACCUGAUGAAAUUUUCAACAAAAAACUUGGAUGUCAACAACACAAUAUAUGGUUGUGAUCAGGCAUGGCAUGUACUCACAAGCACCCCAUGCCAAAGCCAUAACAAAUUUGUCUUCAUUGUGGAAGAAACGAGAAGCUGGAAGAAGUAUUUUUAAUAGUAGAAUUUCCAUUAUAUUUCCAAAAUAAACAUUCUUCUUUUUUGUUUUUUGGGAAAACAAGUGAGGUCGUGGAAAUAUACGUCGAAAUUAAUAACGAGCUUCUCUUUGGAGCAUAAUAUAUAUCUAUUUGGAAUAGAGGCAGAAAUUAAGAUCCACCAGUUAACUUAAAAUGAAAUAUAUAUCUUAUUAUAACAAAAACUAGCUAGCCGACCAUUCAAUUUUUAAGCCUUUGAUUCUGAAAAGUUCUCUACGACGAAGGGCCAAUCCACCUUAAACUCCUUCCUUCAACACACAGUUAUGUUAUCUGGUCCUAUAGUGUGAAUGCCAAUAUCCUAGUUAGGUAGCAGCAUAAUUUACUCCCAACUUCUCCAAGCAAUAGCUUUAUGAUUCAGAUUCUCUUUCCUUACAGUAGCAAAUUAAGGAUUCUUCAAAAUUUUAACAAAAAUUUCAUCAUGCUAUCAUUCUUCUAUGCAUUUGAAACAUUAUCAUGACUGGAUACUUCUAAUUGCUCGCUAGUUUAAUAUAAGAGCAUGUCAGAGAAUGCCAAUUCCUUCCUCUUGUACUAACAACUGCCGACUUCCUUUUACCUGCAUAACUUAAGAUUCUCAAGAUGCUCUAUAUUACAUGGUUAAGAUCAAAGCAGGAACGUGGGAAGAUAUAAAAAUAUCUCGUCAAUCUUGUAAGAGAAGCGAAAGAUUAUUAGCAGCUAGAGGAGUUUGAAGCACAGAACUCUCCAUCUCUACGGUGCUCUAGAAUCGGCUAACCAUGUUAUCCAAAAUGACCUUCAUCUCUUAAAGCGUAACCAUUCAAAGAUAACUGGCAGAUAUGUCAAACUUAAAGAAUGAAAUAGACAAAUCAUCGUCAUUAACUCGCACUAUGUACGUAGUAUGAAUUACUCGAUGCAGAUUAAUUCCAGAUUAUCUACAAUGAUUUUUAUCUACCAGACUGAGUUCGAUCAGGUCUUAGAUAAUUACAUAGAACAGUGCAUGGCUACACUACUUCUCCCAAUGUAUUUGACCUACUUAAUUGAAACCCACCACCUCAUAUUUGAGCCAAAGUAGCUAGUAACUUGUCACAAAUUCGUGAUAACUGCUAAAAUUCCGCUCUAUUUCUCUUCUUAUCAGUUAUGAAACUAACAUUACAUGUAUUUAUAUCAUCUCAUCACUAUAAGCGAUGCCCUACCAGCCUACCAACUUCGUACUCUCCUAGGAAAUUAUACAUGUAUAUAUAUAUAUAUAUAGUUUGGCUACUUUUACAUAUACGAGUACUGUUACGAUAUCAUGCAGCUAAUUACUCUCAAGCUAUUACCUUUGACUGCUAAUGCAGAAGAACUACCCUUGACACUAAAAUCAAAUAGAAGCAUACUGUUAUCAUAGAAGGGGAAGCAGUGAGAAAAUAAGGGUAGUAAAAUAUAUAGAGACCUGCGAGGACAUCUACGACGACGGCCGGACGCUCGGCCGCUCAUCCUUGCCCGGCCGAACUUGGCUUCAUGAACUGCCCACCCAACGGCCCUAUGCUCGCAGCUGACGCAUUCAGGGCGGCGACAAGUCCUGCUGCAUCAUACGCUCCAUUCGCACCCAAUCUCGCCACCAGCUCGCCGUCAUAAUUCCUCAUCAUCAAGUGGUGGUUGGGACGGGGGUCCCGGGCAUUUCCCGCCGGGAAGAGCUGCUCCCGGCCGAACCCGAUCCCGCCCACCCCGAUUUGGUGAUCGGCACUAACGUAGCCAUGCACGCCGGCGCUCGGCAGCCCGCCGCUGAAAUUGGGGGCGGAUGAGCCAGCGGCGGACUUGUACUUGGAGAGCUCGGACUUGGCGCAGGAGAGGUCCAUCUGUAGCUGGCGGAGCUGGUGCUGGAGGAUGGAGAUGACGCCGACGCAGCCAUAGACGGGGUCCCGGAGGCGCAUGUCGGCCUCGUAGGCGAGCGAGUUGACGGCAUCCUCCCGCUGGUACGGGUGCAGCUCGUUGAGCAGCUUCGUGACGUUGCUCGCGCCGAAGACGCGGUGCACGUGCACGAACUUCUGCGGCUGGUCCGGCGGGAAGUAGGGCGCGAAGACGCAGUCCGGCUGGCACUUGCGGCGGAGGAACUUGCAGGCCGCGCAUGGCGAGCUGGCCGACGCGGCCGUCGAAGAUGAUGCCGCAGCCGAUGACGCCGGGACCGGGGCUGACGACGACGCCAUCACCAACUAUCCCUUCCGAUCUCUUCGCUCGAAUACCUUUUCAUUACAUGAUCGAUAUAUAUGAACGAAAGAAAGAAAGGAAAUCGGUAUAAAUAUGGCAAGAAGAGAGAGGGAAGGUUUGGUGGUGAAACGAUACGUGAUCGUUUAGAAUAUGGGAUGAGAAAAAGGGAAUAAAAAGAAAAAGAUUUCGAUCCUGGAAUUUGUUUUGCCGACAAAUCCCACGAUCCAACUGUAAAGAUAAAAAAAUCUUAUAAUUGGAAAGGAUGAGCAGAGAACAGAGGCGUCCAGCGUUCUUCUCAAAUCUACCAUCUGCAGCUUAUUCUAUUUUAUUUUAUUGAAGUUUUCGAGAAGGAGAGAGCGACCAGGAGUGGGACGCGUUGGUCUCCUAUGAGUAAUUUAUUAGUGAUUUUUUUUUAAGCAAUAACGAGAGAUGUAAAUAAAUAUCUAGCAUGAGCAUUUUUCUUGGAGUCGAUGGUUGGAAAAGAGAGAAAGAGAGAAGCGAGAAAGGGCGGCUAUCGGAUCCGACGGCGACGGCGACGGCGACGGCGACGGCGCGGUUAAAAAGAGAAAGCUCACCUUUUUAUUCUUUCUUGUUUGGCCGGGUCCCGCCCUCCGCUCUUCGCUGCGCCUCCUUUUCGCCUCCCUCUUUUUUAUUCUCCGAGUAAGCGAGGGCUGCACUAGAUUCGAUUGGAUUAAAGCCAAAGCCAGCGGAAGGGAGGGGAGUUUGGGAGUGGGACGGGGAGGAGAGAGAGAGAGGGAGAGAUAAAAGAGGGGGAGCGAGGCGAGAGAUAAGCGGAGGCGAAGCACAGAAAGAUGGUGGAGGGGAGAUGGAAAGGCGAAAAAUAGGAGGAGGAGGAGGAGAGAGAGAGAAGGAAAUGGAUGUAUAUGUGUUUGUUUUAGUCACGCGAGACGGGAGCAGGAGAGAACACGGCGGUGGGAGAGAGAGCUGGUUUCUCCUUCUCCCCUCUCUCUCGACGCUGGGGAGUAAAUAAGGAAGGGAAUAAAUGGGAUUGGGGGGUCCCGGAAGGACGACUGGGGUGGUCGCAUGGCCAUGUCUCAAUGAUUUGACGCUUUCGCCCCAUUCUAAACCCAUAAUCUGAAAUAACGGCUUCACCCUCUUCAUCCGUGGUCCUUGUAAAUUUAUUUUUAAACAUGCAAUUUUUUAUUAAUAUUUGGCAUGAAAUAUUAGUAUAGAAAUUAGUGUUUGAUUGGGAAUAUUAGUAUAGAAAUAUUAUACACGAUAGAAGAAGUAGAGGGAGAAAGAUUAAGACUAUAUGGCAUGGAUACAAAUAAUCUGAACAAAUUUCUAUACGAUAUUACUAGUUUACUUCUCUUUUUAUUUAGCAAACCCAAGCUAUAUAGGGUUUGUGUCUGAAAAAUAAACCUAGUGAGAUACUAGGAUUAUUUGGAUCCUGAAAUUAAAGCCAAUGUAUUAUAGGGUUGGGCUUGAUUUUAGGUGGACCCAAACCCAAAUUUCAGAAUAUUAUAUGAUUGGCUUUGGUGAUUGCUUGACGGCUCUCUUAUCACCAUCCAAGGUUUGACCAUAGAAGCAAAAGGUUUGUAGUUAGUCCAUCUAUUCUAUCCAUUCAAUUUGAGCUUCUCUAUAGAAGAUGAUAUGCUAAAAUGGAGGUUAUAUAUUUAUAUACAAAUAUAAUUUAUUUUUAUUUUUAUUUUUUUAAAAAAUAAUUAGUACAGAGUAGUUGAACCAUAAUUCACUUGUUCUUCUACAUUCCUGUCCAUGGCUCAUGGUUUGAUAAUCCGAACCAUACUAGUUCAUCUGAAAAAUGAAUUAGGUUUGCUAGGGUUAGAUUUUGAAAAUUUAUUAUUUGCAGAAUUAAAUAGUUUGGAUUUAGUAAGACACUUCCUGGAGAUAAAUAAUAUACAAGAAUUUUAUAAGAUAAUUAGAAAUAUAAGAAGAGAGAUUAAUAAUAUCUAGCAUAUCUCGAAAUAAUUUCAGCAAAAUCUAAACUAUGCAGAUUAGUUCAUUACUUCGAACUGAUUUUUAUUUUGCCUUUGUUUUCGCAAUUAGGUACCUAUAAACUAUAAUGAGAUCGUUUUAGCAAUUAGUUACCUAUAAACUAUAAGGAGGGUAAUAAAUGUUAUAACAAUUUUUUAGUCCUCCAUGUAGGUAUAGGAAUGUCAACAAGUUGAUCCACAGGCAACAUUUUAUGUCAUUUCAUGCUAAGUCAAUUCAGUCAGGAUCAUUGCUCAAAUUUUUGAAUAUGCUCUUAGUGUAGCCCAUGACAUUUUUAGUCAUGUUAUAUGGAGGGUAAAAUAGAUAUUUUACUGCACAUGUGAAUGCAUCAGACCGCACCUGGUUUACAACUCUACAUGUAAGUGUAUCGGCACAAAAAUAUUCAAAAAAUCUAUCUUUUCUAGUAAUCCCAUAUUUUCAUGAGGCUCCAUAACAUGUGGCUGCAAUAUUCGCACUUCUAUAAUAGUUCUAUAUACUUUAAAUAAGGGAUUUUUCUGCAUAUAUAUCUCUACUAAUCUGACUUAUUCUAAAUGCAUUCGGUAAAAAUUACUGUUUAGUGGUUGCCAACCUAACACUCUUAUAAUGCUUCUAUUUUAGAUAGUAUGGUUUUUUGCAUAUAUGUAUAUACAAAUAUAGUUUGCUGCAAAUGUAUCGUCAAAAAUCAAUAUUUGCAUAUAUACACAUCAUUUCAGUCUAUCAACACUAGCAUGCUUGUAAAAUUUUUGGCUAUCAAUAACAAUAUCCAUCCAUCCAUCCAUCCAUCCAUAUAUAUAUAUAUAUAUAUAUAUAUAUAUAUAUAUAUAUAUAUANNNNNNNNNNNNNNNNNNNNNNNNNNNNNNNNNNNNNNNNNNNNNNNNNNNNNNNNNNNNNNNNNNNNNNNNNNNNNNNNNNNNNNNNNNNNNNNNNNNNNNNNNNNNNNNAUAAUAGAAUUAUCUUAUACUUAAAAUGACUACAUAUUGAUGCCAACAAUCAACAUUGUAACAUGAUGGGCAACACUGCAAAAUAGUGUAAAUCAAGAGCAAUAUAUGCAAAUACAGAUUUUUGAUGGUUACACAUAAAUAAACCACAUUGUAGGGGUAUGCAUGUGAAAAUUCCUAAACCAAUAUAUCCCUCAUGAUUCAUUUUUCAUUUUGUGUGUGAGAAACUAGAGAAGUGCACAUUCUAUAAUGAGACUGUAAUUAUCCACAAAAAUGACUUUAAUCAAAUUAAAGGAUUGCAAUGAUCCAUAGUAGAUUCUACAUGCAUCGCACAUGCCAAAUUAUAUUAUUUAUUAUAUAGGAAGCAUAGCAACUAUUCCUGUAGUUAAAUAUCUUUAUAAAUUUUAAUCCCAAGAUAAUUCCAAAAUCAAAUUUUAUCUUUCUCGACAAAACCAAAAUUUAUUCUUGAAACAGUAGCAUAAUAAGAAACACAAUUAUUUUAAGUUAUAUUUUCUUUUUGAGAACAAAGAUGGGGUCGCUCCAAUCAUUUCAAAUAAAUGAUGUAACUUACUCGGGUCAAAUUAUUGUCAGAACAUAUUUGCUGAUUUAAACUUGUAAAAUCCUCCAUUGGAGAAGAGCUGCAAUAGCUAUGUUUGAAGUCCAGUUUCCGACUAAUAAUUUUAGUUAUUUCUUUUACAAACACAUAUCUAAUUGGCCGCCACUAUUAUGAGAUACUACUACUACUAUUAUUAUUAUUAUUAUUAUUUUGGAUGGAGUCCACUGGACUUAUUCAUUCAACUGUAUCUCUCCAGUACAAGUUUUGUAAUUUGCACGAUUCUUUCCUCUCAAUUAAUGAGUGGCCCUUAGGCUGAGACAGAAUGGUAUUAUUGAGAGUGGCCCUCUCUCUCUCUCUCUCUUCNNNNNNNNNNNNNNNNNNNNAGUGGCCGUCCUCUCUCUCUCUCUCUCUUUCUCUUCCCCAACCCUGCUCUUCACUCUUAAUUGAGAUAUUAAGAGUGGAAAAUUAAAUGAACCUUAAGGGUGGAAAAUUUAAAAGUGAAAAUUAAACGAACCUGGGUUUAAAUACAUGUAUGACAUUAAAUGCAGAUAUGGUAUGAUCCUCUCAUCACCUUAUUAGAUCCCUCUGCAUUGAAUGCAAUGAUAGCCACAACUCAUAACACCUCCAUUCCCUCCCCGACACAAAAGCAAAUAGUAAUGAGAAUAAUGACGACGUUAUCGCUAGACUGGAUUUAACAGGAGGACAUGGAAGAGGCAUGCUGUGGGUGGAUCCCUCCAUUUAGAGCGAUGGGGUCAGGAUGGCACAUCAAAUAUGGUGACCCUUCGACGGACUUUGCGCUCUGCCAUGGAAUAAUAAGCGGCCAAGCUAGCUCGCAAUUAAUUUCUUUUACAUAUUCUACCACUUGAAGUGUCAAGCUUCUUCGUGUACAUGCCCAGAAAAAUUAAACUAGAUAAUUAUUAUUUUUGAACCUAAAUUUUCUAUGUAGAUGUGCAUCAUAUAUACUUUUGAUAGGAAAUUUCAUGUUCACAAGAAGACACUCUCAUUCUUAAUGCAAACAUUACAAUGAUGUAUGUUUUCAGCAGCACACACACACAUAAAAGAAAAGCUGCUAAAAUUCAUAAAAUUGUCUCUAAAUGUUUAUAGUGAUAAACUCGUGCUUGAGAGGGAAAGUAGCCCUUAUAGACACCAUAGUUAAAGUUUUGGCAAAAAUAUUUAUAUUUCCAUACUUCAAAAAUUAUAGAGGCAAAAAGAAAUUGCCGUUGUAAAUAGAAACUUUUAAAAGAUACUUUUUUGUCACUAUAGAAUAUUUUAGAGCAAAUUAUUUUUUCCGUUAUAUAUGCAAAUUGUUUGUAGAGGCAAAUACUAUUUGCCAUGAUAAAACUCAUAACUGAAAAAUUAUUGUUCUCGUAGUGAAACUUAACUCUUUCAAUAUGAUGACGAGCCGAGGUUAAAUUGAUUGACUAAAUGGUAUAAGUAUUGUUGGAAUUUUGAUUCUAGCUGACUUGAAAUAGUGUGAGAAUAUAUAACAUGUGCCACCUGCUUAAUUAUGUACCAUUUUAACCUACAAAGGGUCUAUCCAUACAGAUAAUAUAUAUGCAUUGUGCAGCAUCAAAUGCAAUGAUUCGAUUUUCUUCAUCCUACUGGAAGUUUCACACGAUGAUAUUUGUGUUAAUAAUGACUAACCAACACAUGCACUUGAUUCAAACGAGGUUGUAACUCUAUAAUUACACCCCUCCAUUUUGAAGUCAUUCUAGGUUCAAACUAGGUUGUGUUUUCUCAAGUGUUUGGCAGAGAUCGAUUUUAGUGUUCGUGAGUAUCGACACUAGGCCUGAUAAACUUAAAACCUACUUGCACUUGACCAAGACUCCAUAUGAAAUGACUUGGAAACUUUUGGGUUCAUUAUGCUCCAAGGUUAGAUCCUUAAAGCAUCUUAGGUUAGGACUCUUAUACCUCUAUGCUACAUUUAGUUCCCGAAAUGAGUAUUGGAAUGGAAGGGAGAUUCUAACUCCGGCCCCGCACACGCAUUUGGUAUGACAAUAAAGGAUAGAAUCAUAUUUUCUUUGAAAUAAUUAUUCUUUCAUUUGAUGAAAGGGCAAUUUUACUUAUACAUAGAAGGAAUUGUUAUUCUCAUGAAAAUAGGAAUUAGUGAUAUUGUUGACAAAAUGGUAACAAAUAGCAUGUUUUGAUAAGAAUUAAUUAUCUGUGAUCAUGAUAUCAAAUAAAAAUAAAUAAUUUAGUAUACAUUUAAUUUGACACAUUAUUUUAGUAAAUAAAAAUAUCAAAUAGCAUGCAUUGUAAUCUUAUAUCAACCAAUACUUACAAAGUUUUGCUUUGUAUCAUAUACAAAUAAAUGCGCAUUGGUGCAAGUUAAAGAAAAAAGAAAGAUAUAAAUAUAAAUUAUUAGAUAGGAUUGAAUACAAAAGGCAAAAACAUAUUAAAUAAAAAUAACAAUUAAUAUAAAUUAAUAAAUAAAAUAUAAAUGAACUAAACAUUAAAAAAUAAAUAUAUCAACAUAAAAACUAAAGUAUAAAAAUAUAAAUAAUUGAUCUUAAAAUUUAAGGUAGUGGAUUUAAAUUAAAGGUAUGGAGAAUAGUAAAUAACAAAUAAUUACUAAAAUAUAAAACCCAAAAAUUUAAUAUACAUUUAAAAAAUUAAUAUAAAAUAAAUAUAUAAUCAAUUAAAUUAUCUAUUGGAAUUUAAUUGCUAUUUUUUUUACCUGAUAUUUUUUUUUAAGUGUAUAUAUAUAUAUAUAUAUAUCAAUCUCAAGCUCACCUUCGGAUAUCAGGUAUCAAAAUUAUCAUUAUCAUAAGUUAAAAAAUUUUUAAAAGAAGUUAGCUAUUAUGAUACGAUGUAAAUUAAUAAUAAUCCUCUUAACAUGAAAAUUCACAAUCCUACAUGUAAGGAAAAAAAAUAAACAGCUGCGUACUCUUAUAUGCAUAUGAUAGCACCAGCGUUUAUGCCGCGACAACUAGUAGAAUCAAAACAAAAGCAAGACGGAAAAGAAAAAGUUAGAUCCUUGAAUGCGUGAAGGUAGGGCAAGGUAAUGCGGAGAAUGCCACGACUCAACUAUGUUUAAAAUCCUUCUUAGGGAUGGCACGUGUAACCCGUUAUAAGAGUCAGGGAUGUAGAGAGAGAGAGAGAGAUAAACUAGACAGCUAGGAAGAGAAGACAGCUUGGAGGGAGAGGAUAUUACAUGUCGAAGAAUGAUAUAGAAAACAUCUCAAUUGUGCUAGCACGAAACUAGCUUAUCAACGCUGCUGUUACACUAGAAACAGUCUCUAAGAUCUAUAGGCCAAUUACACUCUCCACUAUUCUGAAAGCCUCAUCUAUGUAGGUAAGGCAGGGUGGGCGAGCACACCCUGGCAUGCUACUACAUGUACAUGGAUUAGACGGCUCGGAUGGUGUUGUCUUACCAUAAAUGAGCUCUUUUCUCCACGGACUCUCCCCGCUUUGCGCACGAGUUCUUUCCAAUUUAAACAAAAAAAAUUAACUACUUUUAUAUGUAAUCCAUUUUCGUCCCCAUUUUUUUAUUUUCCCGGAAGCAAAAAGUGAUAGGGAGGAUCGCGUACUUCUCGCGAGUGCAGAGCGUACGACGGGGGACGCGGAAAGGAAGGCUGAGAGAGAGAGAGAGAGAGAGAUCCGUCCCUUCGAGGUGACCCGUCCUUAAUCUGACCGUGACGUAGACAACCCACACGCCCCGCCGGGCCACCGUCCGGUUUUCAGGUUGACUUCAAGCAUCGGCUGCCGUGAAGUAAAAAAGAAAAGAGAAAUAGCGACACGUCAACGUCAGUACGUUCCUUUCCUCGCGAUGCGUGCUACAUAUAUUUAUAUAUUUAAACUUCUUCGCUUUAAAAAAAGCUUUUACCCUGCAGGAGUUUCUUGGGGGAGGGAAGGGUAGGAGACAAAGGUUCAUGGCGUUGGAAGAAGUAACCGUACACUUCGCCUAUCGAUUUGAUGUAUGUUCUCGGCUUCACGUACUGAUAUGGCAAGAUGAGGGAGUCUAUGGGGAUUUACGUUUUGCCUUUUGGUUGUUAGGUGUGGAGGGAUUACGGGGCGGUGGGGGGACAAAACGGAGGGAGGCUGUGGAUGGGGCGGUGGAGUUGUCGCAAACGGAUGUGGGCAUGAGCCAUCCCAUCAUAGGGAUCGCCAUGGUUGCAUCAUGGGUGAUGGAUGCUAAUGUUGCUCCAUAUAUGAACUCCCUAAACUUUUUCUUACACUAAGCAAAAAAAAAAAAACUUUUUACUUACUCAUGCGUCAAGAGAUGGUUGGUACGGUAGAGGAAAGGGCGGUCGGAUCUUGUCAUGCUAUGCCUGUGCAAUGCUGGCAUCAAGAAUUAAUACCUUUUGAAGGAAGACUUCCGCUCGUUCUAUAGCUUUGAAACUGGAAUAUAGGUUUGCAAUGUAGAGUGGCGUUACGUGCCGUGGCAUAUGUACCAGUAGUUGCUCAGAGAUUCCAUAGCUCACAGCAAUGAUACUGACUCGAAAUACUUUGAGAUUCCUAGCCUUAGAUUUUUGAUUGCGGGUUUCUCCAGGAUGUUGCUGCAAUAAACACUAAAGAGAAGCACUGCUGCAUCAUAGGGAACAUUGAUAAGCACGCCAUAGUAACCCCGGAUCUGGAUUCCCUCCAGGAUGGUAUAAUGGAUUAAAUAUUGCUGGUAGUUCAAUUGGCAAUGAUGCAUGUUUGGUCAAUUAAAUUUCAUCGUUUGUGUGGAUAUUGCCUCUUCAUGAUGUUAACCAAGAUACAGCUACAAUCAGGAUUGAAAAUAACCGCUUCGCAGUGACCAACUGAAUAUAUUAUUGACAUACAAAAACGGGUCAAGUUUCAAUUCUUAAGAACUUAGCCCUCCGAUUAUGAUGAUUUUGCCACUUUUUAUUGGCUAUUUUUUUCCUAAUAACCGACGCUUUAGCGAGACUUGAAUACGGCAAGAUACAGGAAAGGUUUUAAGAUUAGUUCAUUUUUGGAAUAGACAUCCAAGAACUGUAAUUUACUGAUUUGAACGUACGUCCACCCGGUCUGUCCUUGCUGACCAUUCUUGUCAUCAAAGAAAGAAUGUGUUGAACCAUCGGUGACUGAUUGGGGACCCCUUUCCCUUCUAAUCUCUCUCCUUUUAUGUUGUUUCUUUUGCUAUUUCGCGUGUAGUGGGUAGCUAGGCGUAGAGAAAUAGAUGUGAUUCGGUAUUUUGUUUACGUUUAGUACUUGCAGCACCAGAAUGAGGGCAUUCUUCUGAAUUCAAGUGAAGCUCUAGCUUUAAGAGGUGCCCUCUGGUUGAUAGUAUGACUAUAAAAAGGCCCAUCCAAAUAUGUAAGCAACAAAAUCCAACCUGUACGUAACAUAGUACCACUGAAAAAUGAUACCUCAAACACAUAUCUAUAUCCGUAUCUAUAUGAAUCAUAGACUGAAUAUGGCUGGGGAUAAUAAAAUUCAAUAUACGACUCAAAACCUAAUACGUUUAUAUAACCUACUCUACAUGCAAGAUCAUCUACAACCGCAUUAUGUCCUGAGUGACAUUAAGGAGCCUGUCUCAUAUGCAAUCGUAUCCUUACGAGAUCUAAUAAAUCGUGCACUGACUUCUAUUCUUUGUAGAACGUGU